rnacentral:rRNA from 1 species
ACUGGANAGGCACUACCAGCCACACUGGUAACUGAGCAUANGUNCCAGACUCCUACGGGAGGCAGCAGUGGGGAAUAUUGCACAAUGGGCGAAAGCCUGAUGCAGCGACGCCGCGUGAGGGAUGAAGGCCUUCGGGUCGUAAACCUCUUUCGGCAGGGACGAAGCGAUCAGUGACGGUACCUGCAGAAGAAGCCCCGGCUAACUACGUGCCAGCAGCCGCGGUAAGACGUAGGGGGCGAGCGUUGUCCGGAUUCAUUGGGCGUAAAGCGCGCGUAGGCGGCUGCGCAAGUCGGUUGUGAAAUUCCGGGGCUCAACCCCGGAACUGCGUCCGAUACUGCGUGGCUAGAGGUAGGUAGGGGAGAUCGGAAUUCCUGGUGUANCGGUGAAAUGCGCAGAUAUCANGAGGAACACCGGUGGCGAA